UACAGAGGUCCCGAGCGUUGUUCGGAUUCACUGGGCGUAAAGGGUGCGUAGGUGGCUGGGAAAGUCUGAUGUGAAAGCUCAGGGCUUAACCCUGAAAUGGCAUUGAAUACUGCCUGGCUGGAGGUUUGGAGGGGGGACUGGAAUUCUUGGUGUAGCAGUGAAAUGCGUAGAUAUCAAGAGGAACACCAGUGGCGAAGGCGAGUCCCUGGACAACACCUGACACUGAGGCACGAAAGCCGGGGGAGCAAACAGG
rnacentral:rRNA from 1 species